rnacentral:rRNA from 1 species
UACGGAGGGUGCAAGCGUUAUCCGGAUUCACUGGGUUUAAAGGGUGCGUAGGUGGGCAGGUAAGUCCGUGGUGAAAUCUCUGAGCUUAACUCAGAAACUGCCAUGGAUACUAUUUGUCUUGAAUAUUGUGGAGGUAAGCGGAAUAUGUCAUGUAGCGGUGGAAUGCUUAGAUAUGACAUAGAACACCAAUUGCGAAGGCAGCUUACUACACAGUUAUUGACGCUGAGGCACGAAAGCGUGGGGAUCAAACAGG